UAUUUAUUUUUCAGCGCUGGAUGUGGAAAUGUUGAGUUAAGAUAACGAUAAUGACUGUGUACAGACUUCUACUGAAAUAACAUUUCUCACCCUCACUCUCUGUUCUGCUCCAGACAGGAUGAGGAUACAGUAACAAGGAACAAGCCAGAAUGCAACAAGCAACAUUUUCCACUCCACCAGUGAAAAGUCUUCCUGUGUGGUGGUAACAAGGGAACGACACCCUCAAAUUACUUAUCCAAGCCUGAACCAGCAAUAUACCUUGGAUCAUUCUUCAUCUAGUGUUGCUACUCCACCUGGACUCUUCAUCUGGAGAAGGAACAAUUAUGAUGUCUACAGUGUCCACAGAUGUUUGGCUGUGAAUGGGAUGAUGAGACUGGGGAGAUUAUUGGUUACUGGUCUUCUCUGUACUUAUGAUGGAGAAGACUGCAUAGCAUUGGACCUGAAGACACUAACCUGGAUCACUCCCAGACCACAAGCUGUCAUUACAAAACACAAGUGGACCCAUGAAAGGGCAAAAUUAAACUUCAAUAAGACGUACCUCA